GAGUUUAAUCAUGGCUCAGAUUGAACGCUGGCGGCAUGCCUUACACAUGCAAGUCGAACGCCGAAAGGCGGGGCAACCCGCAAGUAGAGUGGCGAACGGGUGAGUAAUACAUCGGAACAAUAUCCAGUAGCGGGGGAUAACCUGUCGGAAAGAUAGGCUAAUACCGUCAUACGCCCUACGGGGGAAAGCGGGGGUCGCAAGACCUCGCACUAUUGGAGUGGCCGAUGUCGGAUUAGCUAGUUGG
rnacentral:rRNA from 1 species